rnacentral:lncRNA from 1 species
CAGGGCUUAAUGUUCACAGUAAAACAUUUAAAGCUAUGUAGAGGGAAACAAGGACUUAAAUGGACACCAAAUCCAAGUUAAAUCCGUCAUUAGUUUAACAAGCUUAAUAUAUAUGUCUUGUGUGGAGAAGCAAAAAAAAUUAAACAUAAAAUAAUUCAAAAAAUGAAUAAUGUAAAAGCCAGUUAUAAACCUCUCUCCUACAGCACCAUAUCUUCUCAUCUGGAUUGCCACAGACGGAUGAUGAGUCGAUCAAUCAGUUACUUCAUCAAGAUAAGCACAACAUGCAUGGAAGGAUCCAACAAAAAGAGAUGCGGCUAUAUAACCACAGCAACGAGAAUAUGCAAUCUGGAGGAAGCAUGAUAUCUAUGGGAACAAAUUCACCCCAUGUUUUAAUACACAUAGGAAAACUUGCAAGUGCUGGUAAGGCCAAAAGAUAAAGUUAUAGAGAGAUUUUAGAAGUUUGAUCAAUUCUUACUAAGUGCCUUAGAGUACGGGGAAUUCGAUUUUUUUCUAUGUGAUAAUGAUUUAAGUAGAUUCCAUUUAGUAAAUAACAGGACUGGUUAUCUUGGCAUCAAUUCCUUUAAAUAGAGAACCUAUGGAUUUCUAAGAUUAACUCUAUUUUCUUGCUCCAACUUGUGCUGAGGCCUUGUUGUGGAUUCAGUAAACUGGGGCAUAAAACUUGACAAAUGACACUUAAGUCAUACAUUUCGAGGACUUUAAUAAAGACU